rnacentral:rRNA from 1 species
UACGUAGGGUGCAAGCGUUGUCCGGAAUUAUUGGGCGUAAAGAGCUCGUAGGCGGUCUGUCACGUCGGCUGUGAAAACCCGGGGCUCAACCCCGGGCCUGCAGUCGAUACGGGCAGACUAGAGUGCGGUAGGGGAGACUGGAAUUCCUGGUGUAGCGGUGAAAUGCGCAGAUAUCAGGAGGAAUACCGAUGGCGAAGGCAGGUCUCUGGGCUGACACUGACGCUCAUGCACGAAAGCGUGGGGAGCAAACAGG